AAACAAGGUUUCCUAAUGAAGAUGAUGUCCCAUGGAUAUCAUACUUCUUCACCUCUUCAAAUUAUUCUCCCUAACCCACAAGUUCUUGAAAAGUUUAAGGUCACUCAGGCCCUAUUGGCAAGGCAAGGUCUAGGUGUGGUCACAUCUUGGAGAUGUAGUCACAUAUUGACAAGCCGGGAGAGUUGGGUGUCAAAGUCUUGAGAAAGUUGGUGGUUCAACCACUUUCUAAGUCACAUAGUGAGUUCCUUUGGGACACCUAUGAAACAGACUAUGACAAGACCCUUAAUGAUCUUAUCUAUUUGCUAAGAUCAACUUCCUAAAACUUUAUGGACAUUGACAAUGAUGACAUUGGAUAUCCAGUAAAGCAUUCUCUUCCCAAUGGAAAGGGAUCGGCUAUAGUCAACUCGGUUGACCAAAUGGUAAAGAGAAAAGCUAAGUCUGUGAUAGUCCUGUGUACCAUUAUCAAAGGGUCCAUAUGUUUGUAUUGCCAAAGAAAGGGCAUUGGUUGCGAAGCUGCCAAAUUUACCUAAGGAUGUUAAAGUCAAUAAGUUUGACUCUACUUCAGGUAAAAUCCACUAUCUAACUCUGUUAAGUUUCUAUUCUGAGAUUCUUGAUACAUGAUGUGACCGGGUCGCAUGGUGAUGGUUUAAGAAUCAAAGGAAAGUGAAGAAACUUAAAGGAAGAAUAUGCUGAAUCUGAUCGCAUAGAUGGAUUUCUAUCGCAUAGUUUGAAAAAUCGGAUUCUUGAGCUACUUCUUAGGAGUUAUGAGAUAUUGCUUAGGAAUAGAUAACAACAAGUUUUCAUAUGGAUUGUAAGGAUAGUUUUUCCGCAAAGUUUUAAAAUAAAAGGAAAUUUUUGAUUUUAUUUAUUUUAAAAUAUCCUUACAAUGGCAUCUGUGGAAAUUUUUGUUGCUUAUAAGAUUCCAUUAGUAGCAAGAGUGGAAGUAUGAAAUUGAUUCUUUCAUUUGUGGUAAUGUCUAAAUUUACCAAAUAAGGAAAGAUUCUCAUCACCCAAGUUUCAAUUGGACCGGAACUUGGAAUCAUGCAAGUUGUAUAGCAUGAUGAAUGAGAACUUUCAAGUUUUGGAAAAUUAAGACUAAUUACUUGUUCACAUGGAUGUGUGAGUCAAGUAAAGGACUUAGGGAUCGAGUACACAUUCUUGUGCACUGAUUAAGUCCACCACUAAAGAUCGAUAAGAAGAAUCAAAUAAGGCAGAAGGAUAAAAGUUUCUCAAAUCUGAAAAGAUGGGAGAGUACUUUAGUAUCAGUUUUGUGAUCAUCUUAAUGAUUAAGAAACCAUAUCAAAAUUAGUUCUCUAAGGAAAUCUUAGUGCAUUCUUAUGACUAAGAAGAGGAACUUGAAUUGUUGAAAUGGUUAAAUCAAGAAGAUGAGUCAUACUUCGUUCCAAUACAAGUCUUAGAGUCAUACUCCAAGAUUGUCAUUUGAGUGACAUGUCUUAAAGAAGGUUUAAAACACUUGUCAAAUGUAAGAGUAAAAGUUUUCUACUCUUGUACAUUUGAAAUUGGUAAGUUGUGAUGUUUUGGAUAAAACAAAGACCAACUUAGGCCAAUUGGGUAAAGUGUUUUUCUUGAUUAGAAUCCGCACUAUCUCUUGGAUGUUUGACAAGGGAGUCUUAUAUGUCAAGAGGACAGUGGGAGUCUUAAAGGUCUUGAAAGUCUCAAGAAAUAAUCAAGAAUAAAACCUAAAGUUCUUCACUAGCACACGACUUGAGGUUCAUAACCUAUCGUGUUGACAUAUUCUGUGCCCAUUCCAGUUAAAGUUGGUUUUGCAUAUGAGUUCUUAGAGUUCUCAAUUUGUUGCACAACAACUUGGAAGCAAUGGCAGGCCCUUGAGCUGCCAGGUGGCAAGAAGUUAAGAUUGAGUUCAAUCCAUAUGGUUUUGGAUUUGUCAUUAUCUUUGUCUUGUGAUUAUGGUUUGACAAAUUCAUAUGGGUAGGAACUCAUACACCAUAUAAAUCUAAGUGUCAUAAGGUUUCUCUCCGAUUCAUGAAAAUGAUGGUGAGGAAACGCUUUCACUAAGUAGAUUUUACGAAGAUAUCAAUUGUGUUAUUUGCAUUUUCAAAAGUCGUUAGUGGAGCGCGUGUGGUUAACCGGCACACUAACAUGGACUUGUGAGAAAUGGCAAAUGCCUAAGCAAUUGAGACCAUGAUUACGGUAUCCCUUUUCAUGGUUCUUGAAAUUGCUUAGACACACAGGUGAGCUAUCUACGGAAAGGGUGUAUGAAUCUAAAUUUCAGACUGUCCAGCUGAUUUCUGAGUACAUGUCAAAGCUAGUGGGAGCAUAAGUGUUAUGCUAAUAAUCAUCAUGUUAGUGGGAGCAUGAUAAUUAUGAUAAGUAUUGCAAGUUAGCAAUGUUAAUUAUAGAAAACAAAAGUUUCAAUUGGGAAAAAGUUGUUUUGCUAUAAUUAAGGGAGAGGAAAUUAUGCUUCAUCUCAAAUCUAUAAGCUUAGAUCGUGAGGUUUUAAUCAUUUAGUCAAGGAUAUAUAUGAAUUUCAUGUUGGAAUGGCUCAACAUAAGGAAAUUCUGUAUAUGGGUCCAUUAUUUGCGUUCUAAAAUUCGAUUAUGAUUACGGCAUCCCUUUUCAUAAUCUGAAUUAUGAGAACUUGGCAAAUUGAAAUGGAAAUAUUAUAGCAAAAGACUGGUUUAGUCUUUAUGUAAGACAUCAUGAAUCGUGUCCCAUAUGCUUCGGAUAUAGGAUCGAUUACAUGUGCUAUAUUCAUCCGUUCUAAAAUUUUCCAAAUGCCUGGGGCAUUAAGAAGGGAAAAGGUUUAGAACUGGAUAUGACUAAAAGGAUUAAACAAUUGUCGAGGACAAUCUAAGGUUUACCAAAGAUUGGUUACUCAAGGACAAUUGGAAGUAUAGUGAUAAUUCUGGAAGGACCAUAUUGACAUAAUCUGUAAGGAGGCAACUCUUGUUCAGAAGUGAUAGUCAAAAUGGAAUCUGGAAAUGUUUCAAAGUUAGAAUUUUCAAUCUGUGUAAGAUUAAGGAAACUUAAUGCAAGAAGGAUAUUUCCAAGGAGUUGAUCUCCUUUGGAAUACUCUGUAAUGAUUGUUGCCAAGUCUUUGUGACUUUGUGCAUAAUCAUUACAAGAGGAUCAAUGCAUAUAAGUUUAGAAUCUAACAGAUUUCAGUAAAUGGCAUGAAUUUGGAAUUCUUGCAUUUGCAGUAAGGAUUUGGGAGUGUGAAAAGAGAAUCAUUGAAGUUAUGUUCAAUUGAUCUAGUUCACAAAGUAAAGAUCAUAGACAAACAUAGUAUGCAUACUUGGUGUGUGGCAUGACUAGUGUUUAAGAAAACAUAGUGUACAUGCUUGGAGCAUGGGACAACUAUUGUUUUAAAUUCAAGAAUAAAGUUGAUAGCUGAAACAGUAUACAAUGAAUAAUGUGUAAUCAUAUGGUGAUAAAUAAAAGGUGUUUUAUUUAUGUUCAAAGGGUUGAUACCAUAUUGGAUUCAAUUAUUAUUGUGUUUCAUUUUGCAUGUUUUGACUUCCCGAAUAAACUGGGUUAUUCUUCCGGAAUGACUAAGUUAUUCAAACCAUCCACAGUCGGUCAUAUGUUGGAAGUAGAUAUGAAUUAAGACUGUCAUGGGUUGGCUUGUAGAGGUCUAAGGUGUUGGACAAAGGGCUACAACACUCAUGAGUGCUCAUAAGUUCUGAGUAUUGGAUUCAACCCGCGCUCAUUGGAAUCACUUCAUGGAUUUUAUCACGAGUGAUCAUGAGACGAUAAUAUCUUAUAUUCUUCAAACCUAGAGAUAUGAGUUGUUACUAUGAGUUGAUAGUACAUUGAUUGCACGAAAACGCAUUUGGUAACUCGGUGCUAUAAAACGUGCCUUUGUGUAUGAUUCAACAAGUAGUAGAACAAGCCAUAUGAGUCGAAGUUUAUCCAUUCCUUUUACCUUCGGGAUAAAAGCGAUAUCUGUGGGCCCCUCGAUGAUUUGAUGAUGACAAAUGGAAGUGCUCGGCCGGGCCAGGACUGAUUUGAUUUGUUCAAUUAGUCAGUCGUCAUAAAUCGGAAAUCGGGAAACAACAAAUGGACAGAGAGAAUGAUUAUAAUCCAUGUCUCAGUCCAUAUGAUAUCUAGAAUGGAGGAAUAUAUGAUCCCUUAUCUAAUGGACAAGUUCAUUUAGAAGAUCAGAGUUCAACAGCGGCUUUAAGAGCUACGACUGCCAGUUAGGUUUGAAGUCAUACGCAAUAAUAGUUUUAGACUUAUCCAAGUGGGAGACUGUUGGAUUAAUGUCUAAGUCCAUAACUAUAUUUGGUAUGUACUUGACCCGACCCGGCAUGGUCCAUUUGGGUUGCACUUCACCGACACAAUUUAUAUGGAUAAUCUUUUGAGAAUAGUAUGUUUAUGAUUAAUAUUAAUAUAUUAUAAGUUCUAAUAUAUUAAUAUGGAAUCAUAUUAUUUAAUUAGUAUUGAUCAAGAAUUAAUUUAUAAUUAAUUAAGUGAUCAAAAGGAACUAAUUAAAUAUGGACUCUUAUAUAUAUGGAAUGGGCCAAGUUCAUUUAGGUUGGGCUAAGCUUUCAUGGAUAGUCCAUGGAGUGUUUAACCCAUGGAUCCUAGGAAAUGAAAGGUCAUGGGUAUUAGGGUUUAACCCUAAUCCUCCAUACUAUAUAAAGAUGUCUUUGGUUGGUGAAAUUGGCACUAGUGUGGAUACACUAAAGAAGGGCUAGCCAAUUUCACUAGAGAGAACCAAGUAAUCAUAUUCUCUAAAGUAUUCCAAGGUGUCUUGGUGAUUUGUGAUUCCACUUGAGGCUUCCACACUAUUGGGGCUAAGCUCUUAAAGCUUGAAGACAUCAAGCUACAUCAAGAGGUAUGUAUUCUAUCUUGUUACAUUCAUAGUUUUUGUAUGCUAGAUUAGGAUAAUACCUUGGAUGUUCUUAUUUGCAUGUAUAAUAGAGAAAACAUAGAUCCAAGGUAUUUAGGGUUGCAUGUACACUUAGGAAGUGUUAGAAUGCUCAAAACCCAACAGUGGUAUCAGAGCCACGGGUUGUUUUCUGUUAUAUUGAUGCAAAUAUUUUAUUUUCAAAGUUGAAAAAAAAAAAAAAAAAAAACAUGAAGUUCGUCAAAUUUUAAGAUAAUUACUUGUUCUUGUGAAAAACUAAUUAUUUGUAAAAUUUGAAUAAUUUGCUUUAUGAGUUGAAUUAGGUCAAAUUUAAUAAAAGAUAAAAUAAUAUGAUUAUUUUAUUAGUUUUAAAAGUUUGAUCUAAAGAGUUUUAUUUUUUGAAACCUCCAUAAGUUAUGGAUAUGAAAAGGUUUUAAAAAAAAAAUUGAUUCAAAGUUUUUUUGGAGUUACAAAAUUUGGUGUUAAUGUUUUAAAGGAUUCCAUAACUUAAGAAUAAGUUAUGGAUCACCAAAAGUUUUUUGUGUUACCUUGUUUUAUGAGUGAAUUUAGAUUAAUGAAUAAAAUUAUGUGAUAGUUGGUUUUAAUCCAAAUUAAUCUAAGAAUUGAUUCUAAAAUGUGUUUUUGUAACUUGUCCUCAAGUUAUAUGAAAAGUCACAUUUAAGAAUCAUAAAACUCAUAAAAAUUGGCAAAGGUUACAAAAAUGAAGAGUCUAGUUCUAAUUAAAUGGUUUUAUGACUCCAUAACUUGUCCUCAAGUUAUGGAGGACCAAGAGUCUCUUCAUUUAAUAAAAUAAAAUAAAAUAAAAAAAGGUGUAACCUUAAUUAAUUCCAUAAGUUAUAAAAUAAAGAAAAGUUAAUUCUUUUAUUAGUUUAAAGUCUUCCAUAACUUGUCCUCAAGUUAUGGAACUUGAAGAGUUUUUGGAUUAAAACUACUUUAAACACAUAAGUUAUGGAAUUAAUUAGUUUUGAAUAGUUUCAAAACUUGCCCUCAAGUUUUGGAAUUUGUAAAGUUUUCACUUAUGAAUACUUUAAUUCCAAGUUAGCCCUUAGAAUUUUAAAAGUUAAAAUUCAACCCUUAUACUUUAUAAUAUUAUAAGUUAAUAAUAUAUAUAUGUAUAAGAGUAAAGUCAGUCUUACCGCUAGUACGCCUCAUUCACGAAGCCGGUCUAUAAGGUGGGUAUAAGGUUGUUGCCUAUAAAAUGGCAACUUAAUGGGUGUCCACUCUCACCCACCGCUUGCUUGACUGGUGGAGGGUCGUUAGCCGAACGGGUUUGACAGGACUAGAAUUCUCCCUUCAUUAAAAGUAUUAAUGAUAAUACUAAGUAACUAAACUCUUAAUAAUACCCAAUCUUAGUUACUUAGGAAAAAUGUGAAUAAGGUGCUAAUCCAUGAAAUUACACUUUACACUUUGUCUAAGUCGUUAGUGGAGCGUGUGUGGUUAACCGGCACACUAACUUGGACUUAACAAGGUAGGUAAAGGGUGACUUAAUAUUUAUCAUAGUAUCGAUGGAGCGUGUGUGGUUAACCGGCACAUCGAUUGAGGGGUAAUUUAUUAAGGGUACCAAGUGAUUUGCAUGGUUACUUCACACCUUGUUUUGUGAUCCUCGGCAUCCCAGUCACAAAACCUGAAGGGCACACUCGAGAUUGAAACAUGCCUUUGAAAAGUUCAAUGAAUCUCAAAGAUCUAGGAGUUUCAAAACCAAUUAAAACCUAAUAAUACAUUUCGUUUAUCUUGGUGGAAAUUGGUGAAUCGUCAUUCACCUACCUUCAAAUAUUUUAUAGCUUGGAUUACGGCAUACCUCUUCUAAGUUAUAAAAUAGUUUGUUGGGUCCUAGCCUUAAUAUUUCAUAUUGGGUGUCAUAUUAAGGACUUUAAAUCAACUAUCUUGAAUAUCUCCCAAAAGAUGUCUGGUUUAGACACCUAUGAUCUUCCCAAAUCUCUUGAAACAAGGUUUCCUAAUGAAGAUGAUGUCCCAUGGAUAUCAUACUUCUUCACCUCUUCAAAUUAUUCUCCCUAACCCACAAGUUCUUGAAAAGUUUAAGGUCACUCAAGCCCUAUUGGCAAGGCAAGGUCUAGGUGUGAUCACAUCUUGGAGAUGUAGUCACAUAUUGACAAGCCGGGAGAGUUGGGUGUCAAAGUCUUGAGAAAGUUGGUGGUUCAAUCACUUUCUAAGUCACAUAGUGAGUUCCUUUGGGACACCUAUGAAACAGACUAUGACAAGACCCUUAAUGAUCUUAUCUAUUUGUUAAGAUCAACUUCCUUAAAACUUGAUGGACAUUGACAAUAGUGACACAGGAAAUCCAGAAAAGCAUUCUCUUCCCAAUGGUAAAGGGAUCGGCCAUAGUCAACUCGGUUGACCAAAUGGUAAAGAGAAAAGCUAAGUCUGUGAUAGUCCCUUGUACCAUUAUCAAAGGGUCCAUAUGUUUAUAUUGCCAAAGGAAGGGGCAUUGGUUGCGAAGUUGCCAAAUUUACCUAAGGAUGUUAAAGUCAAUAAGUUUGACUCUACUUCAGGUAAAUUCCACUAUCUAACUCUGCUAAGUUUCUAUUCUGAGAUUCCUGAUACAUGAUGUGACUGGGUCACAUGGUGAUGUUUUAAGAAUCAAAGAAAAGUGAAGAAACUUAAAGAAAGAAUAUGUUGAAUCUGAUGGCGUAGAUGGAUUUCUAUCGCAUAGUUUGAAGAUCGGAUUCUUGAGCUACUUCUUAGGAGUUAUGAGAUAUUGCUUAGGAAUAGAUAACAACAAGUUUUCAUAUGGAUUGUAAGGACAAGUUCUUCCUCAAAGUUUUUAAAAUAAAAGGAAAAUUUUUGAUUUUAUUUAUUUUAAAAUAUCCUUACAAUGGCAUCUGU
rnacentral:lncRNA from 1 species